rnacentral:rRNA from 1 species
GAUGAACGCUGACAGAAUGCUUAACACAUGCAAGUCUACUUGAAUUUGGGUUUUUUCCCUUAGAUUUGGGUGGCGGACGGGUGAGUAACGCGUAAAGAACUUGCCUCACAGCUAGGGACAACAUUUGGAAACGAAUGCUAAUACCUGAUAUUAUGAUUAUAAGGCAUCUUAGAAUUAUGAAAGCUAUAUGCGCUGUGAGAGAGCUUUGCGUCCCAUUAGCUAGUUGGAGAGGUAACGGCUCACCAAGGCGAUGAUGGGUAGCCGGCCUGAGAGGGUGAACGGCCACAAGGGGACUGAGACACGGCCCUUACUCCUACGGGAGGCAGCAGUGGGGAAUAUUGGACAAUGGACCAAGAGUCUGAUCCAGCAAUUCUGUGUGCACGAUGACGUUUUUCGGAAUGUAAAGUGCUUUCAGUUGGGAAGAAAAAAAUGACGGUACCAACAGAAGAAGUGACGGCUAAAUACGUG